GUCUACUACCAGACCUCCGUGAACACGCCCGAUCGAUCUCGUCUGAUCUCGGAAGCUAAGCAGGGUCGGGCCUGGUUAGUACUUGGAUGGGAGAAUGAAGGAAAGUGGGGAGAGAUGCUU
rnacentral:rRNA from 1 species